GACGAACGCUGGCGGCGUGCUUAACACAUGCAAGUCGAACGGAAAGGCCCUGCUUUUGUGGGGUGCUCGAGUGGCGAACGGGUGAGUAACACGUGAGUAACCUGCCCUUGACUUUGUGAUAACUUCAGGAAACUGGGGCUAAUACCGGAUAGGAGCUCCUGCUGCAUGGUGGGGGUUGGAAAGUUUCGGCGGUUGGGGAUGGACUCGCGGCUUAUCAGCUUGUUGGUGGGGUAGUGGCUUACCAAGGCUUUGACGGGUAGCCGGCCUGAGAGGGUGACCGGCCACAUUGGGACUGAGAUACGGCCCAGACUCCUACGGGAGGCAGCAGGGGGGAAUAUUGCACAAUGGGCGGAAGCCUGAUGAAGAAACGCCGCGUGCGGGAUGACGGCCUUCGGGUUGUAAACCGCUGUCGCCUGUGACGAAGCGUGAGUGACGGUAAUGGGUAAAGAAGCACCGGCUAACUACGUG
rnacentral:rRNA from 1 species